GACGAACGCUGGCGGCGUGCUUAACACAUGCAAGUCGAACGAACCCUUCGGGGUUAGUGGCGGACGGGUGAGUAACACGUGGGAACGUGCCUUUAGGUUCGGAAUAACUCAGGGAAACUUGUGCUAAUACCGAAUGUGCCCUUCGGGGGAAAGAUUUAUCGCCUUUAGAGCGGCCCGCGUCUGAUUAGCUAGUUGGUGAGGUAAUGGCUCACCAAGGCUACGAUCAGUAGCUGGUCUGAGAGGAUGACCAGCCACAUUGGGACUGAGACACGGCCCAAACUCCUACGGGAGGCAGCAGUGGGGAAUCUUGCGCAAUGGGCGAAAGCCUGACGCAGCCAUGCCGCGUGGAUGAUGAAGGUCUUAGGAUUGUAAAAUCCUUUCACCGGUGAAGAUAAUGACUGUAGCCGGAGAAGAAGCCCCGGCUAACUUCGUGCCAGCCGCCGCGGUAAGAC
rnacentral:rRNA from 1 species